rnacentral:rRNA from 1 species
CGGGAUAACAACCUGGAAACAGAUGCUAAUACCGGAUAACAACAGAUGAUGCCUAUCAACUGUUUAAAAGAUGGUUCUGCUAUCACUCUUGGAUGGACCUGCGGUGCAUUAGCUAGUUGGUAGGGUAACGGCCCGCCAAGGCGAUGAUGCAUAGCCGAGUUGAGAGACUGAUCGGCCACAUUGGGACUGAGACACGGCCCAAACUCCUACGGGAGGCAGCAGAA